rnacentral:tRNA from 1 species
GACGCUACGGACUUGAAAAUCCGUUGGCUUUAUUGACCGUGAGGGUUCAAGUCCCUCUACCCCCAA